AUGCAGGCGGAGCUGAAGACGAAAGAAAACCAAGUCAUCGAUCUUCAAGAAAACCUGAAAACCCAACAGGCUGAAACCUCCAAAGAAAAAGAGGAAUUGGCCAGUGCUUUAAGCGCCAUGGAACAACUUAAGGAGAACUUCAAGAAGAAACGGGCGGAUUGGGCCACUGAAAAGUCCGCUUUGAUCAAACGAGCAGAGGAUGCCGAGGCUGCACUAAAACCAGUGACGGAUGAACUGACCAGCAUAAAGCGGCACGUUCAUGCCAUGACCACUGCUAUCUUUGGGACACGCAUUGGUCACUUGGGGUCAGAUGUGCGGAAGAAAUUGAAAGCCGACAAUUGUAUACUGAUGCCCAGCGGAUCAUCUGUACCGCGUCUCAUAACAAACCGGCGCCCACUUUGA
rnacentral:rRNA from 1 species